ACACGUAAGGGGCAAGCGUUGUUCGGAAUUAUUGGGCGUAAAGGGCGCGUAGGCGGUUUUACUAGUCUGGUGUGAAAGACCUCAGCUUAACUGAGGGACCGCGCUGGAAACUGUAAGACUAGAAUCUAGGAGGGGAAGCUGGAAUUCCUGGUGUAGGGGUGAAAUCUGUAGAUAUCAGGAAGAACACCGGUGGCGAAGGCGAGCUUCUGGCCAUAGAUUGACGCUGAGGCGCGAAAGCGUGGGGAGCGAACAGGAUUAGAAACCCUAGUAGUCC
rnacentral:rRNA from 1 species